rnacentral:lncRNA from 1 species
CCAUUUGUUGGGCCGCUCCCGCGGCAUAUGGAGGUUCCCAGGUCAGGGGUCCAAUUGGAGCUGUAGCCACCAGCCUAUGCCAGAGCCACAGCAACGCAGGGUCCGAGCCGCGUCUGCAACCUACACCACAGCUCACGGCAACGUCGGAUCCUUAACCCACUGAUCAAGGCCAGGGAUCGAACCCGCAACCUCAUGGUUCCUAGUUGGAUUCGUUAACCACUGAGCCACAAUGGAAACUUCCCAAUGAAGGGACUCUCCUGAGAGCACAGUCAGAGCAGAACUGGGACUGGAACCCAGGUCUGGUGCCGGGGCUCACCUCCGUCUCCUGGGACAAAGGACACUGGUGAGCGCCGUGCUCCAGGCGGAUACUUUUUUUUAGGGAGACAUUUACAGUGUUGGAAUGAAGGUGACUGGGGAAGGAAGAACUGCUCUUAAAACCAAAUUAUGAAGAGUUAUUGGAGGGACAAGAAUAAAAAAGCAUCCCAAGGAGGAGCGUGAUCUUUGUCUUCAACCAUUUCCAGGUCUGUCUCGUGAAAAAGAGGCUUCUUGGUAAGAUGUGCGGGGGAGGGGUACGGUGGAUAUCAAAUCCGGAUUCUAAAAGAACUCGAUGCAAAUCCUAAAUGGGAGGGGGUGCUAACCGAGGUCCUCAUAAGUCCCUGGAGGUUUCCAAGCAGAGGUCAAAUCUGUCUCUAUGUGCAUGUAUGCAUGUAUGUAUGUAUGUGUUUGUCUAUCAUCUGUCUGUCUGUCUGUCUAUCUACCUACCUACAUACCUACCUACCUACCUAUCUAUCCGUCCAUUCAUCUACCUACCUAUCCAUCCAUCCAUCUGUCUGUCCGUCCAUCCAUCCAUCCAUCCAUCCAUCCAUCCAUCCAUCCAUCCAUCGUCCACACCUCUAAGACCCUUUCAUCUCUAAGAUUCCACAAGCCUUUGAAAUGUACUAAAAUCAUACACGGAAGCCAAGAAGUAAUCCUGUACUCCCUGCUCACUAUUUUUAGGGAAAAAAAAUCUUAUAAAAUAAGUGGAGAUAAAGUCUAUCUAUUAACACAUAUUUAAGAGGUAGAGUAAAAAGGCACCCAUAUUAUUAACUUAAAUCAUGAAUACUCUCUGAAGUGUAAAAAAAAAAAAUCAACUCACUUUUCUUUAAAUCUUCUUAAAAGGGUCUAAGAAUAGUCCUUCAAAUAAUCCUUGAAGUACGCAAUUUUAAUUUGGACACAUGGUAAUUUCAGUCUACCUGUUGAAAGAGACCAGAGAGAAAUCAGUCAUUUUUUGACGAGGUGGCUGUUCUGACAAGCUGCACAUGAGGUUCAAGCAGCCUUAGAGGAGGGGGUGGGCGGGACUGGGUGGGCAGUGGCUGCCGUCUGAGCUGCAGACUGGUUUUUGAACAUUGAGAGGAAAGGCCACUAAGGCAGAAUCCCAGUGCCCGGCCCGUGGCAAAUGCUCAAUGAAUAUUUAAUGAACAAAUGAGGAAAAGGAUGGGUGAAUCAUUGUGUGUGAUUUAUCAUGACCUUUUGAUACAGGCUCAGCUCUUUGACUCUUUGGGAGAGAUCAUUUCCAGGCACUGGGUGUAUCAUAGCAAAUAGCUGUGAGAAAGGCUCAUGGCGUGGUGGGGAGCAGGGGGCUUUGGAACCAGCUGCAUCUAUGUUUGAGUCCCAGCUCUACGCUGUGCAGCCCUGGGCUGUCUUAUUUCUUUAGGUUUACUAUGGUUCUUCAACUGGAUACGGAGCCCGCUUGGUAAUUUUCAGCCCUCCAUCUUUCCGAAUACAAGUGUUGAAGGCCAUCCAUUUCCCUUAAGUGCUGUCUUGGCUAUAUUCCACAGCUUUGAUAUUUGAUAUCUCUUAUCAUUCAUUUAUAAGUAUUUUAUAAUUUCGAUUAUCAUUUCUUCUCUGACCCAUGAGUUAGAAGCCAAGAACUCUCAAUGUAUUGUUUUCC